UACGUAGGGGGCAAGCGUUGUCCGGAAUCAUUGGGCGUAAAGCGCGUGUAGGCGGCCCGGAAAGUCUGGCGUGAAAUCUUGGGGCUCAACCCUAACGCUGUCACUGGAUACUAUCGGGCUUGAGUCUGGAAGAGGAGUGUGGAAUUCCUGGUGUAGCGGUGGAAUGCGCAGAUAUCAGGAGGAACACCGAUGGCGAAGGCAGCACUCUGGUACAUGACUGACGCUGAGACGCGAAAGCGUGGGUAGCAAACAGG
rnacentral:rRNA from 1 species